CCUAUGGGGUGCAGCAGUCGCGAAAACUUCGCAAUGGGGGCAACCCCGACGAGGGAAUUCCAAGUGCUAGCACUUUGUGUUAGCUGUUCUUCUGUCUAAAAAACAGGAGGAGUAAGGGGCGGGUAAGACGGGUGCCAGCCGCCGCGGUAAUACCCGCGCCCCAAGUGGUGGUCGAUAUUAUUGAGCCUAAAACGUCCGUAGCCGGUCUUCUAAAUCCUUGGGUAAAUCGGGCAGCUUAACUGUCCGAAGUCCGGGGAGACUGGGAGACUUGGGACCGGGAGAGGUCAGAGGUACUUCUGGGGUAGGGGUAAAAUCCUGUAAUCCUGGAAGGACCACCGGUGGCGAAGGCGUCUGACUAGAACGGAUCCGACGGUGAGGGACGAAGCCCUGGGGCGCAAACGGGAUUAGAUACCCCUGUAGUCC
rnacentral:rRNA from 1 species